rnacentral:rRNA from 1 species
UACGUAGGGGGCAAGCGUUGUCCGGAAUCAUUGGGCGUAAAGAGCGUGUAGGUGGCUCGGUAAGUCCGCUGUGAAAGUCCAGGGCUCAACCCUGGAAUGUCGGUGGAAACUGUCGAGCUCGAGUCCGGAAGAGGCGAGUGGAAUUCCUGGUGUAGCGGUGAAAUGCGCAGAUAUCAGGAGGAACACCAAUGGCGAAGGCAGCUCGCUGGGACGGUACUGACACUGAGACGCGAAAGCGUGGGGAGCAAACAGG